rnacentral:misc_RNA from 1 species
GGAGCUUGCUCCCAAAAGUUAGCGGCUUACCGGUGAGUAACACGUGGGUAACCUGCCUAUAAGACUGGGAUAACUUCGGGAAACCGGAGCUAAUACCGGAUAAUUCUUUUCUACACAUGUGGAAAAGCUAAAAGACGGUUUACGCUGUCACUUAUAGAUGGGCCCGCGGCGCAUUAGCUAGUUGGUGAGGUAACGGCUCACCAAGGCCACGAUGCGUAGCCGACCUGAGAGGGUGAUCGGCCACACUGGGACUGAGACACGGCCCAGACUCCUACGGGAGGCAGCAGUGG